GACGAACGCUGGCGGCGUGCUUAACACAUGCAAGUCGAACGGUAAGGCCCUUCGGGGUACACGAGUGGCGAACGGGUGAGUAACACGUGGGUGAUCUGCCCUGCACUUCGGGAUAAGCCUGGGAAACUGGGUCUAAUACCGGAUAGGACCCUGGGAUGCAUGUCCUGGGGUGGAAAGCUUUUGCGGUGUGGGAUGGGCCCGCGGCCUAUCAGCUUGUUGGUGGGGUGAUGGCCUACCAAGGCGACGACGGGUAGCCGGCCUGAGAGGGUGACCAGCCACACUGGUACAGAGAUACGGCCCAGACUCCUACGGGAGGCAGCAGUGGGGAAGAUUGCACAAUGGGCGCAAACCUGAUGCAGCGACGCCGCGGGAGGGAUGACGGCCUUCGUGUUGUAAACCUCUUUCAGCACCGAGGAAGCGCAAGUGACGGUAGGUGCAGAAGAAGGACCGGCCAACUACGUGCCAGCCGCCGCAGUAA
rnacentral:rRNA from 1 species